rnacentral:rRNA from 1 species
AGAAUCAACGCUGGCGGCGUGCCUAACACAUGCAAGUCGAACGAGAAAGUGGAGCAAUCCAUGAGUACAGUGGCGCACGGGUGAGUAACACGUGACUAACCUACCCUCGAGUGGGGAAUAACCUCGGGAAACCGGGCUAAUACCGCAUAACAUCCACGGAUCAAAUGCGUAAGCAGCUUGAGGAGGGGGUCGCGGCUGAUUAGCUAGUUGGCGGGUAAUGGCCCACCAAGGCAGUGAUCAGUA